rnacentral:rRNA from 1 species
AUUGAACGCUGGCGGCAGGCCUAACACAUGCAAGUCGAGCGGUCACAGGAAGAGCCUUGUUUCUUUGCUGACGAGUCGCGGGCGUGAGAGAAAUGUCUGUAACCCUGCUUUAUGGAUGGGGUAACCUACUGAAAACGGUAGCUAAUACCGCAUAACGUCUCAAGCCCAAAAAUGGGGAGCUUCGGGCCGCUUGCCAUCGGCUGUGCCCAGAUGGGAUUAGCUAGUAGGUGGGGUAACGGCUCACCAAGGCGACGAUGCCUAGCUGGUCUGAGAGGGUGACCGGCCACACUGGAACUGAGACACGGUCCAGACUCCUACGGGAGGCAGCAGUAGGGAAUAUUGCGCAAUGGGCGCAAGCCUGACGGAGCCACGCCGCGUGAAUGAUGAAGGUCUUCGGGUUGUAAAACUCUGUUAUCGGGGAAGAAGAAAGGAGUAAGUAACUAUGCACGUAUUGACGGUACCUGAACAGAAAGCAACGGCUAACUCCGUG